UGGAGGAGUGCUAAGUGUUAGAGGGUUUCCGCCCUUUAGUGCUGAAGUUAACGCAUUAAGCACUCCGCCUGGGGAGUACGGCCGCAAGGCUGAAACUCAAAGGAAUUGACGGGGGCCCGCACAAGCGGUGGAGCAUGUGGUUUAAUUCGAAGCAACGCGAAGAACCUUACCAGGUCUUGACAUCCUCUGACAACCCUAUAGAUAGGGCUUCUCCUUCGGGAGCAGAGUGACAGGUGGUGCAUGGUUGUCGUCAGCUCGUGUCGUGAGAUGUUGGGUUAAGUCCCGCAACGAGCGCAACCCUUGAUCUUAGUUGCCAUCAUUAAGUUGGGCACUCUAAGGUGACUGCCGGUGACAAACCGGAGGAAGGUGGGGAUGACGUCAAAUCAUCAUGCCCCUUAUGACCUGGGCUACACACGUGCUACAAUGGACGGUACAAAGAGCUGCAAGACCGCGAGGUGGAGCUAAUCUCAUAAAACCGUUCUCAGUUCGGAUUGUAUGCUGCAACUCGCCUACAUGAAGCUGGAAUCGCUAGUAAUCGCGGAUCACCAUGCCGCGGUGAAUACGUUCCCGGGCCUUGUACACACCGCCCGUCACACCACGAGAGUUUGUAACACCCGAAUUCGGUGGGGUAACCUUUUUGAACCAACCCACCAAAGGGGGAACCAUUAUUUGGCGUGAAGCCCAAAAAGUCCCCCCCGUACACCCUCAGAACUUAUCCAAUAUUAACUCCCAUUUCCGUACAUUAU
rnacentral:rRNA from 1 species